AGUGGAAGCAAUGUUUAUUCAUUGGAGCACAAUAAAGAAGGACACUGUUGCAUUUUACUUCGGUUUUGCAUGGACUUAUUUUUACGCGUCAAUUACUUGCUGGCUCCUAUUACCAAUACUAGUGUAAGGCGUGGGGUUUUAGUGGAAGCCACUACAAAGACAAUAUAAGUGUGCGGUUUCACACACAGUUUAAGGAUGGUCAUAGAUGAUGUUUUCAACACCCUCACAUGUUUGCUCAGAAGAAAAUUGCACAGAAUCCAGCCUAACAAGUGUGUUUGGAAUUCAUGUUAACAUGACAAUGGUUCUUGUCUGAUCAAUGCCAUAGCUCUCAUUUUUCAUGUAUGAUGUAAUCUUCAUAUUCUCUCCAUUAUACUUCAGCCCUAAAACAGCUAAUUUAGUUACAUACUUUUUCCUUGCUAUUAUCAUUCUCAAGACAGAUGGAAAUAAGUUGUGUAAUCGCAACAAUAAUGAAACUCCCCUGCCUGCCAGUGGUUGGAUACAGUACAGACUGUCCCGCACCAACAUAGACAUAACAUUGAAUGAG